rnacentral:rRNA from 1 species
CAGUAGCCACGGGAAUACGAAGGGGGCUAGCGUUGUUCGGAAUUACUGGGCGUAAAGCGCACGUAGGCGGAUAUUUAAGUCAGGGUGAAAUCCCGCAGCUCAACUGCGGAACUGCCUUUGAUACUGGGUAUCUUGAGUAUGGAAGAGGUUAGUGGAAUUGCGAGUGUAGAGGUGAAAUUCGUAGAUAUUCGCAGGAACACCAGUGGCGAAGGCGGCUAACUGGUCCAUAACCGACGCUGAGGUGCGAAAGCGUGGGGAGCAAACAGGAUUAGAUACCCGCGUAGUCCCUGUCUCUUAUACA